rnacentral:rRNA from 1 species
AUUCACUUCCCGAGGGGCUCGCGGCCCAUCAGCUUGUUGGUGAGGGUAACGGCCCACCAAGGCGACAACGGGUAGCUGGUCUGAGAGGAUGGUCAGCCACACUGGAACUGAGACACGGUCCAGACACCUACGGGUGGCAGCAGUCGAGAAUCAUUCGCAAUGGGGGAAACCCUGACGAUGCGACGCCGCGUGGAGGAUGAAGGCCUUAGGGUUGUAAACUCCUGUCAAGAGGGAAUAAGCAAGUGAAGGUACCUCUAGAGGAAGGGGCGGCUAAUUCCGUGCCAGCAGCCGCGGUAACACGGAAGCCCCGAGCGUUGUUCGGAUUCAUUGGGCGUAAAGGGUGCGUAGGCGGCGCGGAAAGUCCGGCGUGAAAGGCAGGGGCUCAACCUCUGGACUGCGUUGGAUACUUCCGUGCUUGAGGACUGGAGGGGAGACCUGGAAUUCACGGUGUAGCAGUGAAAUGCGUAGAUAUCGUGAGGAAGACCGGUGGCGAAGGCGAGUCUCUGGACAGAUCCUGACGCUGAGGCACGAAGGCUGGGGGAGCGAACAGGAUUAGAUACCCUGGUAGUCCCAGCAGUAAACGAUGUGAGCUUGAUGUGGGGGGAUUCGACCCCUUCCGUGUCGAAGCUAACGCGAUAAGCUCACCGCCUGAGGAGUACGGCCGCAAGGCUAAAACUCAAAGAAAUUGACGGGGACCCGCACAAGCGGUGGAGUAUGUGGCUUAAUUCGAUGCAACGCGAAGAACCUUACCUGGCCUUGACAUGCAUUGUGUCGUCGGUGAAAGCCGGCUAGUCCUGGAAACAGGACGCUUUGCACAGGUGCUGCAUGGCUGUCGUCAGCUCGUGUCGUGAGAUGUUGGGUUAAGUCCCGCAACGAGCGCAACCCUUGUGGUCAGUUACUAACCGGCUUAGCCGGAGGACUCUGGCCAGACUGCCCUGUCAAACGGGGAGGAAGGUGGGGACGACGUCAAGUCAGUAUGGCCCUUAUGGCCAGGGCUGCACACGUACUACAAUGCCCGGUACAAUGUGAACCGAAACCGCGAGGUGGAGGAAAUCGCUCUUGAAAACCGGGCCCAGUUCGGAUUGG